rnacentral:rRNA from 1 species
AAGUCGAACGAAGUAGCAAUACUUAGUGGCAGACGGGUGAGUAACAUGUAGGUAUCUGCCCUUUGGCCUGGAAUAACACGAGGAAACUUGUGCUAAUACUGGAUAAGUCUUUACGGAGAAAGCUUUAUGCACCAUUGGAUGAGCCUGCACUUGAUUAGUUUGUUGGUGGGGUAAUGGCCUACCAAGACUUUGAUCAAUAGCUGAUUUGAGAGGAUGAUCAGCCACAUUGGGACUGAGACACGGCCCAAACUCCUACGGGAGGCAGCAGUGGGGAAUCUUGCACAAUGGAGGAAACUCUGAUGCAGCGAUGCCGCGUGAGUGAAGAAGGCCUUUGGGUUGUAAAGCUCUUUCGUCGGGGAAGAAAAUGACUGUACCCGAAUAAGAAGGUCCGGCUAACUUCGUGCCAGCAGCCGCGGUAAUACGAAGGGACCUAGCGUAGUUCGGAAUUACUGGGCUUAAAGAGUUCGUAGGUGGUUGAAAAAGUUGGUGGUGAAAUCCCAGAGCUUAACUCUGGAACUGCCAUCAAAACUUUUCAGCUAGAGUUUGAUAGAGG